GCCUCCUUAGCUCAGCUGGAUAGAGCAACGCCCUUCUAAGGCGUAGGCCACUCGUUCGAAUCGAGUAGGGGGUACCA
rnacentral:tRNA from 5 species